rnacentral:lncRNA from 1 species
UCCCACUGCACAGCUGGUAUCACGCACUGAUCAGUCACUGGCUGGGCACUGCUGGGGAAGAGUGUUGCCUCAGCUCAAAAGCAGAAUCGGAUCCUGAAGGACCUAAUGACUAGAAACUUCCAGCUGACUACACUCUGCAACUGACUGAUUUGAACGUCUAUAGAAUAUUACAUCUCUUUGACCUGAAGGACUUGCUUUAGCAUUUCUUGUACUACAAGUCUGAUGGAGUUCUAUUGACUGUAGUAAUUUUAUGGAGGAGCUUUGAGGGGCAUAUAUGGGAAGAGAGAAAUUUGGAAAAUAUGUGGAGCAGGUGUACAGAACGAAUAUACAUCUAUUUAUUCCAAAAGAGUGAGAAAUUUGGAUCACAUUUAUUUCUGUUUUUCCUAACUUGGAAGAUUUGUUUGGAAACUUAAAAUAAAAG